rnacentral:lncRNA from 1 species
AUUUAUGAUACCUGCUAAUAUUAUCUAUAUAUGUCCUUUUGAUAUCUCCUACUCCAGCUGUGAGCUGCAGCACUGGUGAUGCCAGGCCUGGUGCAAACACAAAGCUCUUCAUAUUGCCUAAAUGUCACUGUUGUUUUUCCAAUAUGUAUUGGAAAAAAAUCUUUUUACCAGGAAGGAAGAACGCAGGUUACCAGUGACACCUCCAACCUGAUGUUCUACAAUGGCUGAGUUGGACUUGAAGGUAAGUGGAAUACAGGGUACCCUCAAUUAAGUCCUGAAAUCACAAGGCACCUUUGCUAAAGGAAAUCUUAGUGAGAAGAAAGCAGCAUGAAUUCUCAUACUGCCUCUACUGCUUCAUCAUUUCCACAGGUGAGAGAAAUCCUAGUUGUGGGGAAUCCUUGCCAAUGCAGCCCAUCCUCUCUUCAGUGUUGCUUCUUUGUGUGAUAUUUUAGAAUCAGUCCUUGGGGACUAAAGGGAGACUUUGUCUGGCCCUACAGUGCAGGGAAGAGACAAGCAGAGCAAACAUCCAUCUCUGUCACAAAUGAUGGAGAUGGGAAAAAGUAAAAAAGUGAUAAAAACAAUCCCUUAGCCUGAUAUGAAACAUCCAUCCUCUCUUGUUUUAAAUUGAACCAGAGGAAAGGGUAGAGAGAAGUGACUGAUCUUUUAAAAUAUAUCAACAAUCUUUUUGCUGUUUUAUAGGAAUGUGGAAGACAUAUCUUGACAGAGCUGAAUUCAUGUAAUUCAUGAAAUAUUUAGACAUCUAUAGUGAGAUUAUUUUUCAUGUUUUAAUUUGAAAACCCUGUGCUUCUCGGUCUUUUUUGCCGUUGAGACUACUGAAGAAGGUAGAUAUUUCUCUGGGGAAAAUGUAUGCAAAAAAACCUUGCAGUCUGGCCCAACAGUACUUAAAUUCCAAGUAUUAUGAAACAUACGUAACAAGAAGGCUGUUGCUUUCUUUUCAAGGAAGCUGAACAAUGAAUCCCACUGGGUAUUGAUGGGAGCAAAGUCAAACUUCCCUCUGUUUCAGUGGUUUUAUUCCACUUUUGUGACAUGAAGUUAAGACCCAAGUUAUACAAAAUGCUCAACAGGGAAGCUCAUGCAGCCUGGUGCCUUCUCUGAGGGACCAUUUACAUACAAUUUGUUGCAAGAUUAGAAUCAGGGGCUCUUUGCUCCCUGUCUCUCUCCUUAUGUUUUUCUUGGCACAUUUUAAAUUGGUGUCUGCUUCUUUAAUUGUUUGGCUGCCAAAAAUCAGCGAUGAAGAGUUUUAACUUCAGAGCAAGAUGCAGGCUCAUAGGAAAUGUGAUAAUAGUUUAUGAGAUAUGUAAGGACCAAUUUCUGCAAGACUGAGUCAAGUCCUAAACGAGCUAAGCAUACAGCAAAGCCGUGGGACAUUCACAGUGAAAAUGUAGCAUCCAAUUCAGCUGUCAGAGAAUUUAUGAAUAUCAGUCAAGCAGGGUAAGAUCUGCCCCUUUUAAAUGGUCUUUAACCAUUCACAAGUGGUGCUUGGUAACACAGAGGACAGGUUUCUGCUCUCUUGGAACAAUGCUGCAAGAUAAAGUUGCUCUUCUGAAGUUGGUGGAGCUCCUUUGAGCCUGGCUGCCAAGUGGUAUAUGUCUAAUCUAGUUCUGUACAUUUUAGCUUGAUGGUAAGAUUUCUACUUCAGAAUUUGUUUUCAUUCAAAGUGUGAAUAAAAAACAGUUGGUACAUUGAAGAUUUCUCA